rnacentral:lncRNA from 1 species
CGCCCUUUGGAUUCAAAUUUAACCUUCAGGAAGAAUGGGCCUUAUUGGCCCAUUACAGGAAUGCAUAAGGAAAGAAAUCCGUUUGAAUCCCAAACGGAUUAUCACAUGUAAAGAAAAAAAAAUAUAGGAUUAGCAAUAACCAAAUAUUAGCCCAAAAUUUGCAAGUAUAUUAUGGAAUACAAUUUCACGCAGUAAAAUCAAGGAUACAACUACAGUUCGCAUAAGGUGAGAUUGUUUGAGAGUGCCGUCCUUUUCCACAAUUUUAUGGUAGUGCCAAGAUUUGUAUACUAAACUCCUUGCAGUAUAUUGAUUUGUUAGUGCAUUAUCAACCAAAAGUUCUCCACAUUUGUGUUUAAUGGAUGAGUUUGGAUUAUGGUUCACACAUUCUGUGAAAUUAUACAACUGCUACUAUAAACUACAACAACAUAAUGCAAUAGUAAUCACAAAGCUUCAAUUUUGAUGAAAAUAAUUCUUGUCCGAGCAAAAGUUUUGACACUAAAGAAUGACAUGAAUGAAAACAAUAUAUAUAUAUGUUGAAUUCUAUUAUGCUGACAAAAAUAGUGAAGAAGUUGAGGGUUAGAAAAUUAAAUAUCCGUCAAUCUAGACAUGCAACCGAAUCAAGUUAGAUGAGCAUCAAUCAUAAUUUUCACAAUAAGUAAACCAGUUUCUUCUCUAGUUUAACUUGCAUUUCAAUAUUUAUAAAAAUAUUUCUUUAAUAGAGUUCUAUUUAGGAGUAUUUUUUAUCCUAUUUUAAGAGUAUUUUUCUAAUUGAUCAUUACAAAGAAAAAUAUUAAUUAAUUCUUCUUCAAUAUAUUUUAGAAGUCCGAUAUAUUUUAUGAGACUAAUUAAUAUAAUAAAAAUAAUUAAAUAAUAAAUUAAAGAAAAUAGUAAAUAGACAGCUUUGUCUAAAAAAGAUCUUUUAAUGAAGGAUAAAACGUUUAAAUUACUUUUCUAAGAGCCUUCACACUUUUAGAGUGUAUGGUAUGAUGGAAAAUAUUUUUCAUGAAAAAUAAGUUGUUGUUUCACUUAUUUUCUUACGUUUGAUUGAUGAGUGAAAAAUAUUUUUCAAAAAAUAUUUUAUAGUGUUUGAUUGGAGAACAGAAAAUAUAUGUUUUUCUACCUAAAUUUUAACUUUACAUGAGAGUGUGCCCCUCUAAUUAAAAGUAUAAUAUAUUUUCUAAAAUAUAAUAUUUAACUACACAUUUUUAAUCAUUAGGUCAAUUUGUAUGAGAUGUGACAUCAACAAUUAUACAUUCAUCUGACCAAAUUUAAAAAAUAAUGUCAUUUUUUAUUACGUAUUAAUAAAAUAAAUUUAUAAUUGCUAUUUUUUAUUUUUUUAUUUAUUAAAAAGUAACUUCUUAAUAGGAUUUUAUGAAAGGAAAAGUAAAAAAGAAUGAGCUAGGUGGUACUUGACAAAACGAAGCAAUAACUUUUUUUAAAAAAUUUUUUUGGUAAGAAACAUAAUAAAAAGUUCUAACUUAUAAAAGUUAAAAAAGUUAUAAAAUUUCAAUUUAUAAUUUUUUUUUAAAAACUCAAUAUACUAUCACAUCACUUAUUUAUGUCAAAUUAUGUAAACUUAAUAAAUUAUUACGUUUUACAAAAAAAAUUUUGUAAACCAUAAUAAAUUACUACGUUUUAUAAAAAGUUUUUGUAAAACGUAAUAAAUUAUUAUUACAUUUUACUAAAACUUUUUUACUGUACACAUCCACUAUCAAACCGUUAAAAAAAUUAUAAAAUAUAAUAAAUUAUUACAUUUAACCUAUUUUGGUAACUUAUUGACCUAUUUUAGUCACUUUAUUCAAUUUGGGCUCUUAAGCCCAAAUCCAUCAUCUUGUCUGAUUGAGCUUCUGGCCCAAUUUCACUUGUCCUAAUCUAGAUAUUGGGCUUUGGCCCAUAACCUGUCUUAAACUAUUUUUUCGGACCUUUCGACCCAUAUUCGGCUUCACCUGUAUUAAAUUUACAACUUUGGCUUCGAGGCCUAAAAUGAAUGAAUAAAUAGAUAAAUGGAUAAAUAAAUAAGUAAAAAAAUAAAUAAAGAAAUAAUAAAAUUUUUCAUCAAAUGGAAUUUGAUUCAUCUUUCUUCGUCUUCCAUCGUCUUGUAUUCAUAUGUCGUGUAUCCGCCCUUUGGAUUCAAAUUUAACCUUCAGGAAGAAUGGGCCUUAUUGGCCCAUUACAGGAAUGCAUAAGGAAAGAAAUCCGUUUGAAUCCCAAACGGAUUAUCACAUGUAAAGAAAAAAAAAUAUAGGAUUAGCAAUAACCAAAUAUUAGCCCAAAAUUUGCAAGUAUAUUAUGGAAUACAAUUUCACGCAGUAAAAUCAAGGAUACAACUACAGUUCGCAUAAGGUGAGAUUGUUUGAGAGUGCCGUCCUUUUCCACAAUUUUAUGGUAGUGCCAAGAUUUGUAUACUAAACUCCUUGCAGUAUAUUGAUUUGUUAGUGCAUUAUCAACCAAAAGUUCUCCACAUUUGUGUUUAAUGGAUGAGUUUGGAUUAUGGUUCACACAUUCUGUGAAAUUAUACAACUGCUA